GGUUGACCUCGGAUCAGGUANG
rnacentral:rRNA from 2 species